GCGCACCAGUCGAGAAUCCUCCGCAAUGCUCGAAAGAGCGACGGGGGACUCCAAGUGCCUACGCUCAGCGUAGGCUGUUCCCGAGCCUAAAAAGCUCGGGGAGUAAGGGCUGGGUAAGACGGGUGCCAGCCGCCGCGGUAAUACCCGCAGCCCGAGUGGUGGCCGCUAUUAUUGGGCCUAAAGCGUCCGUAGCCGGCUCGGUAAACGGCCUGGGUAAAUCGUCUGGCCCAACCAGACGAAUUCCGGGUAGACUGCCGGGCUAGGGACCGGAGGAGGGGAGA
rnacentral:rRNA from 1 species